UGGGGAAUAUUGCACAAUGGGCGCAAGCCUGAUGCAGCCAUGCCGCGUGUGUGAAGAAGGCCUCCGGGUUGUAAAGCACUUUCAGCGAGGAGGAAGGUGGUGAACUUAAUACGUUCAUCAAUUGACGUUACUCGCAGAAGAAGCACCGGCUAACUCCGUGCCAGCAGCCGCGGUAAUACGGAGGGUGCAAGCGUUAAUCGGAAUUACUGGGCGUAAAGCGCACGCAGGCGGUUUGUUAAGUCAGAUGUGAAAUCCCCGGGCUCAACCUGGGAACUGCAUUUGAAACUGGCAAGCUAGAGUCUCGUAGAGGGGGGUAGAAUUCCAGGUGUAGCGGUGAAAUGCGUAGAGAUCUGGAGGAAUACCGGUGGCGAAGGCGGCCCCCUGGACGAAGACUGACGCUCAGGUGCGAAAGCGUGGGGCAGCAAACAGGAUUAGAUACCCUGGUAGUCCAGCGCUGUAAACGAUGUCGAUUUGGAGGUUGUGCCCUUGAGGCGUGGCUUCCGGAGCUAACGCGUUAAAUCGACCGCCUGGGGAGUACGGCCGCAAGGUUAAAACUUAAAUGAAUUGAC
rnacentral:rRNA from 1 species